rnacentral:rRNA from 1 species
UACGGAGGGUGCAAGCGUUAUCCGGAUUCACUGGGUUUAAAGGGUGCGUAGGUGGGUCUGUAAGUCAGUGGUGAAAUCCCCGAGCUUAACUUGGGAACUGCCAUUGAUACUAUAGCUCUUGAAUACUGUGGAGGUCAGCGGAAUAUGUCAUGUAGCGGUGAAAUGUCUAGAUAUGACAUAGAACACCAAUUGCGAAGGCAGCUGGCUACACAAAUAUUGACACUGAGGCACGAAAGCGUGGGGAUCAAACGGG